rnacentral:rRNA from 1 species
ACGGCCGUACCAUGCUGAAUAUACCGGUUCUCGUUAGAUCACCGAAGUUAAGCAUCAUUGGGCGCGGUCAGUACUUGGGUGGGUGACCACCUGGAAACACUGCGUGCCGUU